rnacentral:rRNA from 1 species
UACGUAGGGGGCAAGCGUUGUCCGGAAUCAUUGGGCGUAAAGAGCGUGUAGGCGGCUCGAUAAGUCUGCUGUGAAAUCCCUCGGCUCAACUGAGGAACUGCCUUUGAAACUGUCUGGCUUGAGGCCGGGAGAGGGUAGCGGAAUUCCCAGUGUAGCGGUGAAAUGCGUAGAUAUUGGGAGGAACACCAGUGGCGAAGGCGGCUCACUGGCCCGAUACUGACGCUGAGGCACGAAAGCGUGGGGAGCAAACAGG